GCCGUGGGAGUGACGAUAUAAAACAUAGCAAAUUCACCAUCUUUCACCUGAUCCACAGUGAUUAGAAACUCCAACUCUGACCUACGGC
rnacentral:snoRNA from 1 species